rnacentral:rRNA from 1 species
UACGUAGGGUGCAAGCGUUGUCCGGAAUUAUUGGGCGUAAAGAGCUCGUAGGCGGUCUGUCACGUCUGCUGUGAAAACUCGGGGCUUAACCCCGGGCCUGCAGUGGGUACGGGCAGACUAGAGUGCGGUAGGGGAGACUGGAAUUCCUGGUGUAGCGGUGAAAUGCGCAGAUAUCAGGAGGAACACCAGCGGCGAAGGCGGCGCUCUGGGCCGGAACUGACGCUGAGGAGCGAAAGCGUGGGUAGCAAACAGG